rnacentral:rRNA from 1 species
AACGAACGCUGGCGGCAGGCCUCAAACAUGCAAGUCUAGGGGGUGUAGCAAUACAUCACCGGCGGACGGGUGCGUAACGCGUGGGAAUAUACCUAUUGGUUCGGAACAACUGAGGGAAACUUCAGCUAAUACCGGAUACGUCCUUACGGAGAAAGAUUUAUCGCCAAUAGAUUAGCCCGCGUUCGAUUAGCUAGUUGGUGGGGUAACGGCCCACCAAGGCGACGAUCGAUAGCUGUUCUGAGAGGAAGAUCAGCCACACUGGGACUGAGACACGGCCCAGACUCCUACGGGAGGCAGCAGUUGGGAAUCUUGGACAAUGGGGGAAACCCUGAUCCAGCCAUGCCGCGUGAGUGAUGAAGGCCUUCGGUUGUAAACUCUUUCGCGCACGACGAUAAUGACGGUAGUGCGAGAAGAAGCUCCGGCUAACUUCGUGCCAGCAGCCGCGGUAAU